UCCCAUUACUGCUGAGGAGAAGGU
rnacentral:siRNA from 1 species